rfam:Asian citrus Psyllid, Diaphorina citri - Florida Strain, whole genome shotgun sequence.
GCCAGUAGUGAUAGCACGUUAAAUGCAUUAGUUUCCAAUGGAACAAAACACACUGAAGUUAAGAAACGUUACGCGUAGUUGCUACCCGGAUGGGUGACCACUGACCAGACGGGCAAUCUUGUGCUACUGGCA